GGGAGUAUGCCGGAGUGGUCAAACGGGGCAGACUGUAAAUCUGCUGGCUUAUGCCUUCAUUGGUUCGAAUCCAAUUGCUCCCA
rnacentral:tRNA from 1 species